GACGAACGCUGGCGGCGUGCUUAACACAUGCAAGUCGAACGAUGAAGAAGAGAAACGCGAACUUCGGUUCAAAUUUCACUUCGGAUUAGUGGCAGACGGGUGAGUAACGCGUGAGCAACCUACCUCUUACAAAGGGAUAGCCUCGGGAAACCGUGAUUAAUACCAUAUGACACAUUCAUAAGGCAUCUUAAGAAUGUUAAAGCUACGGCGGUAAGAGAUGGGCUCGCGUCCCAUUAGCUAGUUGGUGAGGUAACGGCCCACCAAGGCGACGAUGGGUAACCGGGCUGAGAGGGUGAACGGUCACAUUGGAACUGAGACACGGUCCAAACUCCUACGGGAGGCAGCAGUGGGGAAUAUUGCACAAUGGAGGGAACUCUGAUGCAGCGACGCUGCGUGAGCGAUGAAGGAAUUCGUUUCGUAAAGCUCUGUUCUAUGGGAAGAAAAGGACUGUACCAUAGGAGAAAGCCCCGGCUAAAUACGUG
rnacentral:rRNA from 1 species